rnacentral:rRNA from 1 species
UUUAAAGAAAGCGUAAUAGCUCACUGGUCGAGUCGGCCUGCGCGGAAGAUGUAACGGGGCUAAACCAUGCACCGAAGCUGCGGCAGCGACGCUUAUGCGUUGUUGGGUAGGGGAGCGUUCUGUAAGCCGUUGAAGGUGUGCUGUGAGGCAUGCUGGAGGUAUCAGAAGUGCGAAUGCUGACAUAAGUAACGAUAAAGCGGGUGAAAAGCCCGCUCGCCGGAAG